GACAGAGGGUGCAAACGUUGUUCGGAAUUACUGGGCGUAAAGCGUGCGCAGGCGGCUUUGCAAGACAGAUGUGAAAUCCCCGGGCUCAACCUGGGAACUGCAUUUGUGACUGCAUCGCUGGAGUGCGGCAGAGGGGGAUGGAAUUCCGCGUGUAGCAGUGAAAUGCGUAGAUAUGCGGAGGAACACCGAUGGCGAAGGCAAUCCCCUGGGCCUGCACUGACGCUCAUGCACGAAAGCGUGGGGAGCAAACAGG
rnacentral:rRNA from 1 species